UACGUAGGGUGCAAGCGUUAUCCGGAAUUAUUGGGUUUAAAGGGUGCGUAGGCGGUCUAUUAAGUCAGUUGUGAAAUACGGCAGCUCAACUGUCGAGGUGCAAUUGAUACUGAUGGACUUGAGUACUGAUGAGGUAAGCGGAAUGGACGGUGUAGCGGUGAAAUGCUUAGAUAUCGUCCAGAACACCGAUAGCGAAGGCAGCUUACUAAGGAGUAACUGACGCUGAGGCACGAAAGUGUGGGGAUCAAACAGG
rnacentral:rRNA from 1 species